rnacentral:rRNA from 1 species
AGAGUUUGAUCAUGGCUCAGGAUGAACGCUGGCGGCGUGCUUAACACAUGCAAGUCGAACGGUGAAGCAGGAGCUUGCUCUUGUGGAUCAGUGGCGAACGGGUGAGUAACACGUGAGCAACCUGCCCCUGACUCUGGGAUAAGCGCUGGAAACGGCGUCUAAUACUGGAUAUGUGACGUGACCGCAUGGUCUGCGUUUGGAAAGAUUUUUCGGUUGGGGAUGGGCUCGCGGCCUAUCAGCUUGUUGGUGAGGUAAUGGCUCACCAAGGCGUCGACGGGUAGCCGGCCUGAGAGGGUGACCGGCCACACUGGGACUGAGACACGGCCCAGACUCCUACGGGAGGCAGCAGUGGGGAAUAUUGCACAAUGGGCGAAAGCCUGAUGCAGCAACGCCGCGUGAGGGAUGACGGCCUUCGGGUUGUAAACCUCUUUUAGCAGGGAAGAAGCGAAAGUGACGGUACCUGCAGAAAAAGCGCCGGCUAACUACGUGCCAGCCGCCGCGGUAAUAC